UACUACCUAAAGUAUUUCCACUGUGAAACUCUCUCCCACCUGGAGAAUUUUCUGCUGCUUUUACAACCUAGUCUUGUCCACAAAGGGACCAGCAGUUACCAGCUUGACCACCCGGUAGAUAAGGCACCGAGGCUAGUAUGCAGACCCCCCACCUGCUCACUGACUCCUCUGCAUGUCAUUCAUGCCAGCAUGCUGGGCCCCCUUUAAAAGCACCCCACUUUCUGCUCCAAAAGUGAGGUGGUACCCAUAAAGACAAGAUCCUGCUCCUCUUCCCCUAAGCAAGCUUUGGAAUAAAAUGUCACUUUCUUUAUACCUUGCUCCUGUUAAUUGGAGUGACUGGACUUGUGUUUUGGUUACAAAAUGUGGAGUGGGGAGUGACUGGACUUGUGUUUUGGUUACAAUUUUUGUGGCUCAUAUGGGGAAGUACUUCAUGCCCUGGGUGAGCUAACUUUGUCAGCCCAGUUUCACUACCAGGUGAGGUGUGGGGUCACCUGUGAGUGCCAGCUGCUCAUGGCUAGCAGACCCCAUAAUGGGAACAUUAGGAAACUUCCCAGAAGCUGCCAAAAAUGAAUUUGUUUUGGGGGAAGCUCCCUUUUGCCUCAUGGCAUGACAACUGCUGCCUUUGGUGCUUCACUGGUACAAGCAAAAUGGCCUCUUAAGACGCUGACAAACUUUGAAACUGAGUGAGACGGGAAAGUGGGCUGGAGUUGAGCAGAGUUCAGAGUUCUCCUAGCUAGGGGCAUACUCUGGAGUACGCAAAUCCAACAGUCCUGACAGAGGAAAGCAGCUUCCUGUAUAGUUGACCUGGAAGGUCAACUUCUUGUCAGAGUUUUACAUGAAUUAUUUUUAUGGUGGAAAUAGAUGUAAAUGUUCCACCAAAAAUGAUUUUUAUCAGGAACUGUCACAGCCACCUCAACCUUCAGCAACCACCACUGUUCAAGGCAACAUCCUUCAGCAGCAGAAAGAUUGACUCGCUGUAGGCUCAGACAUGGGGCCUCACUAUGUUUCACAGGCUGGUCUAAAAC
rnacentral:lncRNA from 1 species